AGAGCGAACGCUGGCGGCAGGCUUAACACAUGCAAGUCGAGCGGGCGUAGCAAUACGUCAGCGGCAGACGGGUGAGUAACGCGUGGGAACGUACCUUUUGGUUCGGAACAACCCAGGGAAACUUGGGCUAAAUACCGGAUAAGCCCUUACGGGGAAAGAUUUAUCGCCGAAAGAUCGGCCCGCGUCUGAUUAGCUAGUUGGUGAGGUAAUGGCUCACCAAGGCGACGAUCAGUAGCUGGUCUGGGAGGAUGAUCAGCCACAUUGGGACUGAGACACGGCCCAAACUCCUACGGGAGGCAGCAGUGGGGAAUAUUGGACAAUGGGCGCAAGCCUGAUCCAGCCAUGCCGCGUGAGUGAUGAAGGCCCUAGGGUUGUAAAGCUCUUUUGUGCGGGAAGAUAAUGACGGUACCGCAAGAAUAACGCCCCGGCUAACUUCGCGCCAGCAGCCGC
rnacentral:rRNA from 1 species